rnacentral:rRNA from 1 species
GACGAACGCUGGCGGCGUGCCUAAUACAUGCAAGUAGAACGCUGAAGACUUUAGCUUGCUAAAGUUGGAAGAGUUGCGAACGGGUGAGUAACGCGUAGGUAACCUGCCUACUAGCGGGGGAUAACUAUUGGAAACGAUAGCUAAUACCGCAUAACAGCAUUUAACCUAUGUUAGAUGCUUGAAAGGAGCAAUUGCUUCACUAGUAGAUGGACCUGCGUUGUAUUAGCUAGUUGGUGAGGUAACGGCUCACCAAGGCGACGAUACAUAGCCGACCUGAGAGGGUGAUCGGCCACACUGGGACUGAGACACGGCCCAGACUCCUACGGGAGGCAGCAGUAGGGAAUCUUCGGCAAUGGGGGCAACCCUGACCGAGCAACGCCGCGUGAGUGAAGAAGGUUUUCGGAUCGUAAAGCUCUGUUGUAAGAGAAGAACGUGUGUGAGAGUGGAAAGUUCACACAGUGACGGUAACUUACCAGAAAGGGACGGCUAACUACGUGCCAGCAGCCGCGGUAAUACGUAGGUCCCGAGCGUUGUCCGGAUUUAUUGGGCGUAAAGCGAGCGCAGGCGGUUUAAUAAGUCUGAAGUUAAAGGCAGUGGCUUAACCAUUGUUC